UCUGAAAAUGUUUUACCAUGUAAAACUUUUUUACUUUGCUGUAGAGCUUGAUUAUAAUUGUUUAAUAAAUGAAAAAUGAUGACUUAAAUACAUCAGAUGAAUUUAUGUAAAAUGUGAUGUAUGGGUAAUGGCCAAAUAUUGCAUUGUUUUGGCUUCCUAGUCUACCAUAAUCUAUCAUGUGUCUUGCAUCAGUCUCUUCUGAUAGCAGAAGACGUGACAUUCGGGUGUACUUCCGAACAAUCACUCUCGGUUCGAUCCCAUGGUUCACUUCUGGUUGAUUUUCUGUUAAUACUGAUUUUAACUUGUACGCUUAUCUCAUUACUGUCCAGCCAGCGAAAUAACGACUUGAAAACUUGCUCCAUAACGUAAUUCAACUUUAUUAACAAAAAAUAAUAUAAACGUAAUAAAACUUACUGCAAAGAACAAAUCUUGCCUGUACAA
rnacentral:lncRNA from 1 species